rnacentral:rRNA from 1 species
UAGCAGCCGCGGUAAUACGUAGGUGGCAAGCGUUGUCCGGAUUUACUGGGCGUAAAGGAUGCGUAGGCGGAUACUUAAGUCAGAUGUGAAAAUCCCGGGCUUAACUUGGGAACUGCAUUUGAAACUGGGUAUCUAGAGUGCGGGAGAGGAAAGUGGAAUUCCUAGUGUAGCGGUGAAAUGCGUAGAGAUUAGGAAGAACACCAGUGGCGAAGGCGACUUUCUGGACCGUAACUGACGCUGAGGCAUGAAAGCGUGGGGAGCAAACAGGAUUAGAAACCCCUGUAGUCC